CCCUUCUCAAGGUUGCACCUGGAGAGCUUUCAGUGCUCUACCAGUUUUGACUAUGGGAGGGAGAGUUAAGCAGAGGCCUACCCAUUCCAUUCCUAGCUUGGCCAGUGGCCAGUGAGUGGCAGGCAAUCUGCUACAAGU
rnacentral:snoRNA from 1 species